rnacentral:rRNA from 1 species
UGUGCUAAGGUAGCAUAAUCAUUUGUCUUUUAAAUGAAGACUAGAACAAAAGAUUUAACAUUUCAAAAUUUUUAUAAUUUAAAUAAUCAAAAUUUUCUAAAAUGUAAAAAGACAUUUAUAUAAAAGAAAGACGAUAAGACCCUAUUGAACUUAACUUUAGUUAAACUGGGGCAGUUCAUUAAUUAAUAUUUUAAUUUAAUUAUCUAAAUAAUUAUCCAAUAAAAUUGAUAAUUCAGUUACCAUAGGGAUAACAGCGUAAUUAUUUUCUAGAGUUCUUAUCUAAAAAAUAGAUUGCAACCUCGAUGUUGAAUUAAUAACCUAUUUUAAGCAAAGUUUCAAAAAGGAAGUCUGUUCGACUUUUAAAGAAUUACAUGAUUUGAGUUCAGACCGGUAUAAGCCAGGUCGGUUUCUAUCUUCUAAAAAAAUUUUUUACAGUACGAAAGGACCUAAAAAUAUUAAUUCCUAAUAUAUUGGCAGAUAAAUGCAUUAGAAUUAGAAUCUAAUCAACUACUU